ensembl:lncRNA
ACAACAAUAACCUAAAUACUUAGGUAAACCAAUGAUAUCAUCCUGUUCUAAUUUCAGGUGUUACCCUAAAACUGAGAACAGAGGAGUAACUCCUGCUUUCCGAAGAGGGGGCCGGAUACCUCUCUGCUAGACUGCGUUAGGGGCCAGCAGAGCCAGCCAUGAAGCCCUGUCACCUGCUCAGCCUACCCAGGAUUAGACUAGACCUCUGGAAGAUGGGUUGAAAAGAACUAUCAGAGUAAAGUGUAAGGAGUUAAACUUAGAGUUGUGUCAGCCUAGGAGGUAGUGGCUGCCCAUGAAUCCUCUUAAAGAAGGAGAAUCUGCCAUUUCGCUUCCUACCUGGAUGUUUGCUGGGCCACUGAGUUCACAGCCCCCUGCCUGUGCUGGCAUGGACUUUGGGUGAGGGUUCUCAGAAGCUGUCUGGUGAAGGGCAAAGGACGGCAGCAGGGCCUGUCCUCACUCUGGAAAAAGUGGCAAGAAGAUGAAUUUUCCUAGGCUCAAGUCAUUUUAUGGGAUCUUUCUGAAAGAAUGAGCUGCAGACCAGAGGCCCAGAAACCCUUUCAGAAGCUUCAAAACCUCAUUCACAACUGAUGUUCAGACCUCUCCUGACAUGAUGGACUGACGACACUAUCUGAGUAUCUUUCUGUACUAUCUGAGUAACUCUUACUGUCCCUGUAAGAGCAUCCUCACUCCUACCCCUUGGAAACCUGUCCCAGGGAAGACUGAGAGCAGGAUCCCUAGAAAAAACCACUAGGAGGAAUGAGUUUGAGCGGGUAGGUCAGACCCAGCCCGAGACCUGCUGUCAGAAGGGUAAGGGACUCAGGACCGCUAGAGCCCUCGCUCCCACCCUCUCACAUGUAGCGAGAGAAAGCUGCAGUGGGAGACAAAGCCCUCCAUCCCAUAGCUGUGACUGUCCUUCACUUUUCUGGACAAGGAGGACGUUAUAAAGGCUCUUCCCCGUCAGCCAGAGGAAGGGAGUGUGGCCAUCCUACGGUGGAAACUGUGAGGAGUGCCGAGGCUGGUCCACAGAAAGGGCUGAAGCUGGGGGCAGCUGUGGUUGGUCACGAGCUGUUCAACGCAGGCUAGGGUGGGCUUGGCAACCAAACAGGAGUGAUGUGGACCCCAGCGACCCAGAACUGCAGGCUGGGGAAGCAGCUGGAGCGGGGGGCCAGGCUGAGAAGACCAUGGCUCAGCCCUGAACAUAGGUAAUCUCAGCACCCUGCCUCCCCUUUCUGGUCCUCCCAGAAAGCUCAGGGCAGGGAGCCUGGAGGGAACCAGGCUCUAGUGGAUGAGGGCCACUCACAGAGCCUGAAAACUGGAUGGGGUCCUGGGAACCCCAAGUUAUCCAACAGAUACAAGCGUGACCCACCCCAAGGUGUAUGCUGCUUCAUCAUGCUGAGGGGAUGCACUUUGUAAAGUGUUUACAUUAGACAGCACUUUACAACACUGGGUCUUUGUGAAGCCCACCAGUUAUCUCCAGCUCUGCUGAGUGUCCUGGAAGAUGUGGAGCUGCCAGCAUCUGUCAGUCUGGGUUCCUGGGUCGCUGUGUGAGCAGAUCCUUCCACCCUUCCACAAACCCCCUCACAUCCUGCAAACAAGAGGGGGAAAUAAACCUUGAGCAUGUUUAACUUCUGAAGGGUCAAUUUGUUAACACCUGUCUUGAUUGAAACGCCAUUAGACUGUGUCCUCCUUGCUUGUGUGUGUGUGUGUGUGUGUGU